rnacentral:rRNA from 1 species
CAGCCGCCGCGGUAAUACAGAGGAUGCAAGCGUUACCCGGAAUGAUUGGGCGUAAAGCGUCUGUAGGUGGCUUUUCAAGUCCGCCGUCAAAUCCCAGGGCUCAACCCUGGACAGGCGGUGGAAACUACCAAGCUGGAGUACGGUAGGGGCAGAGGGAAUUUCCGGUGGAGCGGUGAGAUGCGUUGAGAUCGGAAAGAGCACCAACGGCGAAAGCACUCUGCUGGGCCGACACUGACACUGAGAGACGAAAGCUAGGGGAGCAAAUGGGAUUAGAUACCCCAGUAGUCCCUGUCUCUUAUAC